AAAACAGAAACUAAUACUUAAAAUUGCUUUGACAUCUAAGAAUAAAAUUCUACUAUAAAUCAACUUGGCCUUCAUGUCUACGUUACAGUGUAGGGGUGAUUGACUGGCUACAAAAAAGAGUUGGGCAAGCUUAAUAGGUGAACAAGAAAACUUCUGUGUGUCCAUCAAAUGAUAUACAAGAGCCAGUGUUUGGCAAGAUUAUAGAUUAUUCAGACUGAAGGUGGCAUGGAUUGCCUUGAAAUUUACUAUGAUUAUACAUUUGUGAUUCUUGGAUUGCUUUCAUGUGUUGACAUCAUCAGAUCCAAACAUACCGAAAGUUCUAAAACAUUAAGAUUACAUUAACAGAAAUCUUUAGGAAAUCCGUAAGCAUGGAACUUGAACCAGAAGUGGAUGAAAAUCAAGUAGCUGCAGAAAGUGCAAAAAAAGCACCAAAAAAAGUGCAAAUAAUUUGGUCAGGAAACCAGGAGAAGUGUAAAGCUCAGAAUUGCAGUGGAAAAUAUAGAGAGCUUCUGGAACAGCUACAUGUGGCUCAAAAGUUAAAACAUGAGUGAUUCAAGAGACAUGAAUUUAAACCAAAAGAUAAAAAAUUACUAAUGGCAGCUGAAGUUAACAGAUUACACUAGAUGGUUCAAAAAAAUCCAUAAAAAAAGGCAGAAUAUACAGACAAUUGUAGAUUUUGCAGUGCAGACUAUAAACAGUUGUGCAACUUUUAGACCGUGAUAAACGUAUGACUGGAUGUCUGUAACUCAAGACAUGACACUAUGGCAAGGUUGUUACAAUGGAUAUUUUAAAUUCCAACAUAUAGAUAGUAUUGGAACCAGGAACCACAAAGAAUUACUGAAGGUAAUGAUUGCGUGAGUUCAUCCCAUACCAACAGGUUGAUGUCCCUGUAGGGGCAGGAAAUGAAGACAGUGGCAACUGUCAGUGGCCACAGAGUGGCAGAGAGAGCGCAGAGUAAGAUGGCAGGAACAGAAUCAGCCCACAAGUUUGGAAGUGGAAGAAUCUGCAGAUCCCUGACUGAGUAGAUUAACUUGGAGACGUCCACACUGCUGGCAUGGUGAGAUAUCCCUGCAAAGAAAGUCCUAACAGAUGAAUAUCUUUAUUAAUCUUCAUGUCCAUAUGAACAGUGUUUCAUCAAAGAUGCAACUUUUUCCAGAGACCUUUGACAUUUGCCAGUUUUGCACCUAAGUGGAGAUACCUAAAGAUGUUAACAAUGACAUUUUUUGCUACCAGAGUUGUUCAUCAUAUGUUCAAUCUUAUGGAUUCAAAGACUAAUUCUGUUAAAGAAAUGGAAACUGAACAUCCUUUCAGACCUGUACUUGAAAAUGCUGAUAUUUGCCUAUGAGAGGAAGGAAGAAAUAACGGCCAGUUCACCACAAAUAUGGGACUGUUAAUAUACCUUUUAGUAAUGAUACCUGUACUGCAUUUAGAGAAGCUAAAACUAUUCCAUUUUGGGAGGUAUAUGCAACAUAUCUGGGGGAAAAGCAUAUAAAUGACUCCUGAAGGUUGGAGUGGUCUCUGUUAUUUAGGAGAUGUAAGUCCACCAAUUAGGCACACUUUUACCUUGCUUAGUGAUAUUAGGAAUGUUAAACUUAAAAGACACAAUGACAUGGCAAAAACAGAUGUAGGAGAUGAUGUCCUGCAGAAGCUUCAAUCUUUCCCCUUUAUAGAGCAGGGAAAGAAAUUUGGGAAAUAUGUAGGUUAUCACUGAUGUUAGAGGAAGUACUGUGUUUUACCAAUUGAUAUGUAUUUGCUAGUAAAUGUGAUACUUGUGAAUUGGUGAGAAGGGAAUGCCGUAUUUACAUUCUUAUUUUCCUGAUAAUGAACCUGAAAUCAAGAUCACCCUCAAGCUAAUUGAGAAGAUGAUAAAAAACACAGAGAAAGAAACAUGGCUAUCUUGGCUGAGAGGUCCUGUCAGUGGUAGUGGGGCUUAUACUGGUUAUAGCUGGCAUUCUAGGUUGUGUGAGCCUAGUAAGUGUUACCAUCAACUGUGGAAUGGAGUGUAUAAGGCAUCAAGCAGCGGAACAAGUGCAUCAGGUCCAAAAUAUAGUGUGAUUUAUGAAGUGCAUUGAACCGGUAGUUUCUGAACUAAGAAAAAACAUGCAUGGUUUUCAUGUUUAUUCAGGGAAAUUGUUAUAGUAUUGCAAUCUCAAACAAACGUGAGACAUAAUGUUACAAAAUCUUCCCUGUGAAUAAUAUAUG